CUUCUUCCCGGACCACAUCAGCUACAAAAGAUACCGUUGGCGCCGGUUCCGUAGGCGCAAUAACAAUUAAUUC
rnacentral:lncRNA from 1 species